GACGAACGCUGGCGGCGUGCUUAACACAUGCAAGUCGAACGGAAAGGCCCUGCUUUUGUGGGGUGCUCGAGUGGCGAACGGGUGAGUAACACGUGAGUAACCUGCCCUUGACUUUGGGAUAACUUCAGGAAACUGGGGCUAAUACCGGAUAGGAGCUCCUGCUGCAUGGUGGGGGUUGGAAAGUUUCGGCGGUUGGGGAUGGACUCGCGGCUUAUCAGCUUGUUGGUGGGGUAGUGGCUUACCAAGGCUUUGACGGGUAGCCGGCCUGAGAGGGUGACCGGCCACAAUGGGACUGAGAUACGGCACAGACUCGUACGGGAGGCAGCAGUCGGGAAUAUUGCACAAUGGGCGGAAGCCUGAUGCAGCAACGCCGCGUGCGGGAUGACGGCCUUCGGGUUGUAAACCGCUUUCGCCUGUGACGAAGCGUGAGUGACGGUAAUGGGUAAAGAAGCACCGGCUAACUACGUG
rnacentral:rRNA from 1 species